rfam:Pongo abelii mitochondrial genome
AAACAAAUAGGUUUGGUCCUAGCCUUUCUAUUAGCUCUUAGUGAGGUUACACAUGCAAGCAUCCCCGCCCCAGUGAGUCGCCCUCCAAGUCACUCUGACUAAGAGGAGCAAGCAUCAAGCACGCAACAGCGCAGCUCAAGACGCUCAGCCUAGCCACACCCCCACGGGAGACAGCAGUGAUAAGUCUUUAGCAAUAAACGAAAGUUCAACUAAGCUACACUAACCCCAGGGUUGGUCAACUUCGUGCCAGCCACCGCGGUCACACGAUUAGCCCAAGUUAAUAGAGAUCGGCGUAGAGAGUGUUUUAGAUUCUUUUUCUCCCCAAUAAAGCUAAAAUUUACCUGAGUUGUAGAAAACUUAAGCUAAUACAAAAUAAACUACGAAAGUGGCUUUAAUAUAUCUGAACACACAAUAGCUAAGGCCCAAACUGGGAUUAGAUACCCCACUAUGCUUAGCCCUAAACUUUAACAGUUAAAUCAACAAAACUGCUCGCCAGAACACUACGAGCCACAGCUUAAAACUCAAAGGACCUGGCGGUGCUUCAUAUCCCUCUAGAGGAGCCUGUUCUGUAAUCGAUAAACCCCGAUCAACCUCACCACCCCUUGCUCAGCCUAUAUACCGCCAUCUUCAGCAAACCCUGAUGAAGGCCACGAAGUAAGCGCAAGCAUCCACAUAAAGACGUUAGGUCAAGGUGUAGCCCAUGGAGUGGCAAGAAAUGGGCUACAUUUUCUACUUCAGAAAACUACGAUAGCCCUCAUGAAACCUGAGGGUCGAAGGUGGAUUUAGCAGUAAACUAAGAGUAGAGUGCUUAGUUGAACAGGGCCCUGAAGCGCGUACACACCGCCCGUCACCCUCUUCAAGUAUAUUUCAGGGACUACCUAACUAAAACCCCCACGCAUCUAUAUAGAGGAGGCAAGUCGUAACAUGGUAAGCGUACUGGAAAGUGCGCUUGGACGAACCAGAGG